UGGGGAAUUUUGCACAAUGGGGGAAACCCUGAUGCAGCGACGCCGCGUGAUGUAGAAGGCCUUCGGGUUGUAAAAAUCUUUUCUAUGGGAAGAAAAUGACAGUACCAUAGGAAUAAGGACCGGCUAAUUACGUGCCAGCAGCCGCGGUAAUACGUAAGGUCAGAGGGUUGUCCGGAAUCAUUGGGGGAAAAGGGUACGUAGGCGGGUAAGCAAGUUAGAAGUGAAAUCCUAUAGCUCAACUAUAGUAAGCUGUUAAAACUGCUCAUCUUGAGGUGUGGAAGAGAAAGUGGAAUUCCUAGUGUAGCGGUGAAAUGCGCAGAUAUUAGGAGGAAUACCGGUGGCGAAGGCGACUUUCUGGCCAUAACAUGACGCUGAGGUACGAAAGCGUGGGUAGCAAACAGG
rnacentral:rRNA from 1 species